GGACUACUCGGGUUUCUAAUCCUGUUUGCUCCCCACGCUCUCGUGCCUCAGUGUCAGUAUCUGUCCAGAAAGUCGCCUUCGCCACUGAUGUUCCUUCCGAUAUCUACGCAUUUCACUGCUACACCGGAAAUUCCACCUUCCUCUACAGUACUCUAGCUCAACAGUCUUAAGCGACCUCCCCAGGUUAAGCCCAGGACUUUCACACCUAACUUGUUAAACCACCUACGCACCCUUUACGCCCAGUCAUUCCGAUUAACGCUCGCACCCUCUGUAUUACCGCGGCUGCUGGCAC
rnacentral:rRNA from 2 species